rnacentral:rRNA from 1 species
UACGUAGGCAGCGAGCGUUGUUCGGAGGUACUGGGCGUAAAGGGUGUGUAGGCGGUUGUUUAAGUUUGGUGUGAAAUCUCCCGGCUCAACCGGGAGGGUGCGCCGAAUACUGAAUGACUAGAGUGCGGGAGAGGAAAGUGGAAUUCCUGGUGUAGCGGUGAAAUGCGUAGAUAUCAGGAGGAACACCGGUGGUGUAGACGGCUUUCUGGACCGUAACUGACGCUGAGACACGAAAGCGUGGGUAGCAAACAGG